CUGCCUGUCCAAGUACAUACUUUCACCUAGUGAAACUGCGAAUGGCUCAUUAAAUCAGUUAUGGUUCCUUAGAUCGUACAAUCCUACUUGGAUAACUGUGGCAAUUCUAGAGCUAAUACAUGCAACACAGCUCCGACCUCGCGGGAAGAGCGCUUUUAUUAGUCCAAAACCGACCCGGUCGCCAGGCCGGUCCUCCGCUGGUGAAUCUGCAUAACUUUGCGCCGAUCCCUCGGCCUCGCGCCGGCGACGUAUCUUUCAAUUGUCUGCCCUCUCCCCUUUCGCUGGUCCCCNUGCUGCCUCCCUUGG
rnacentral:rRNA from 1 species